CCUGCCGGACCUGACUGCUAUCGGAUUGAUACUAAGCCAUGCGAGUCUUUGUAGUAAUACAAGGCAUACGGCUCAGUAACACGUAGUCAACCUACCCUAUGGACAAGAAUAAUCUCGGGAAACUGGGCAUAAUUCUUGAUAGAUCAUAAUGCCUGGAAUGGUUUAUGGUUAAAAUGAUUCGUCGCCAUAGGAUGGGACUGCGGCCUAUCAGCUUGUUGGUGAGGUAAUGGCCCACCAAGGCGAUUACAGGUACGGGCUCUGAGAGGAGAAGCCCGGAGAUGGGUACUGAGACACGGACCCAGGCCCUAUGGGGCGCAGCAGGCGAGAAAACUUUGCAAUGUGCGAAAGCACGACAAGGUUAAUCCGAGUGUUUUCUGCUAAAGAAAUCUUUUGCCAGUCGUAAAACCACUGGUGAAUAAGGGGUGGGCAAGUUCUGGUGUCAGCCGCCGCGGUAAAACCAGCACCUCAAGUGGUCAGGAUGAUUAUUGGGCCUAAAGCAUCCGUAGCCGGCUUUGUAAGUUUUCGGUUAAAUCCAUGUGCUCAACGCAUGGGCUGCCGAAAAUACUGCAUAGCUAGGGAGUGGGAGAGGUAGACGGUACUCAGUAGGUAGGGGUAAAAUCCUUUGAUCUAUUGAUGACCACCUGUGGCGAAGGCGGUCUACCAGAACACGUUCGACGGUGAGGGAUGAAAGCUGGGGGAGCAAACCGGAUUAGAUACCCGGGUAGUCCCAGCUGUAAACGAUGCAGACUAGAUGAUGCAUUGGCAUAAUAGCCAUUGCAGUGUCUCAGGGAAGCCGUUAAGUCUGCCGCCUGGGAAGUACGUACGCAAGUAUGAAACUUAAAGGAAUUGGCGGGGGAGCACCACAAGGGGUGAAGCCUGCGGUUCAAU
rnacentral:rRNA from 1 species